CGUCACCGAAGAUCAGGGCCGUUACAUUUGUUUUGUCAACAGUUCCAUUGGAUUAGUCGAAUCACAAACGUCGAACGUCGUCGUCGCCGCAUAGAAUGCACAGCACAUUUAAGUCGCCGAGCCAGAAACGUCCGUCACCAUCACGUGUCAUUUCUCCGGCCGGUUGUCAGUUGGCUCAAAGAUGGCCAGCGCUUCUUGGUGGGUAAUAGUGGUCGUGUUUCUUCUUCAUCCGGCGACGACGGCUACACCGAUAUGGUCCAGUUAUCCAUUUCGUCCGUCCAACGUGAAGAUGAGGGAAUAUACCAAUGCCUGGCAUCCAAUGACGAAGGAGAUUGGGCCCAAGCAUCGGCCCAGCUGGCCAUUGGAGCAUUUCCUCCUCAUUUGAAAGAAACGUUCAGUCGGCAAGUUGUACAUCCGGGAAGUUCAGUCUAGUUGAAAAUCUUUAGCCUCUGGCACUCCACUGCCUCAUUUCACUUGGACGCUGGACGGGUUUCCGUUAUCGCCCGUUUCCGAACGAUAUUUCCUCGGCCAGCAGCAACAAACGGGUCACGACGAUCUUGUAGUGGCUCAUCUCAACAUAACCCACGUCCGAGUCGAAGACGGAGGCAAUUACAAAUGUGUAGCGGAGAAUCGAGUGGGUCGCGUAGAGCAUUCAGCCAAUUUGCAUAUUUACGGAGCUCCUUAUGUGAGACGGAUGAGUACAGUCGUCGGAGUUGGUGGCAAACGACUGGAAUUACCUUGCCCUGUCGCUGGUUAUCCCAUUGAGGCCAUCACGUGGGAAAAAGACGGACGUCGUUUGCCGCUGAAUGGCCGUCAGCGACUUCAAUUCAAUGGCAGUUUGACGAUCGAUCCGUUGGAUAAGAGCAGCGACGCCGGUCUUUAUAGUUGCGAGGCGCGUGGCCAGAACGGACUCUCGGCUCGCCAGUCACUUCAACUCAACAUCCUCGCUUUGCGAAAAUAUUGACUCGGCGCCUUUUUCUUUUCCCCCUCCGCCCUGUAAACUUGCUCGGUCGCUGUGUAUACUCUUUGAUGAUGAGAAAGUCAACAGCGCUUUUCUAUCCGGUCUGGAAGCAGAAAAAAAAUUUUAAAAAAAGGAAGCAAUGAAAGCAAAUGAGACAGACCGACUAUAUCGAUCCAGCAGCCAGAAGCCAAUUUAAGUCUUUCCCCUUUUAUUUUUGUGAAAAACAAGAAAAAGGAGAUGAGUUAAGUGGGUAGGAAGGAUAAAUUUAGAAAUUUCUCGACGUUUUUUUGUUGUUGCUUCCGGUCGCCGGAAUUUCGUUAAAAAAACAACAAAAAACACGAAAAAAAAACGAUAUUGGAUACAGACGCGCCUCAUAUAAUGACAAUGAGCGAUUCGGCCAUGUUGAAUGCCGGCGAGCGAUUGGCUCUUCAAUGCGCCGUAGUUAAAGGUGGAUUGCCGUUGUUCGUCAGCUGGUCGAAAGAUGGCCAAGUGAUUGCACCGACAACUGCAACGACGACGACUAGCGUCCGUUUGGUGAACGAAUUCACAGCCACGUUGACGAUUGAAUCGUUGACUGGACAACAUGGUGGAUGGUACGUCUGCCGCAAAUAUAUAAUUUCAGUUACAAUAGUGCAAUAGAAAAAAAGUGGUGGAAAUAUUUAUCAGGCUUUAGAGCAGCAUUAGCCUUUGCUAUAUCUCCACAUCAUGUAAAUGGAAAAUCUCUGGAACUUCUUGUUGAGAAAUGAAGCCAUUGUGCAUAUUGCAUCAACCAAGGGCGAAAUGUUACCACAUAUAGGCCAAUGUUACAACGGACACAUGAAGUCUGUAUGUUGGUACAGUUUAUCAACAGGCACAAGAGCAUGUUCGGGCAAUAAUUGUGGGAUAGUUUAGGUAGAUUCUUUGCUGCGUCAUAGCUCGGGAGUCGUAACGGGCAAUAUCCUUGUGCAUUAAGUUGGUGAACUCUUGUGUUCCAUUGGGAAAAUAUUUCAAAUUGAUUUAUUUGCAUGUUACGGAGUUGUAUUUUUCUGAUCUGUGGAGCCUGACAUUUUCCACAAUUUCUAUCGGCGGACAAAAUGUCUUUUAGGAUUGGUAGCAGCUUACGAAGCAGUAGGUUCCAACAUCAUCUAACGUCUGCUUUAGUAAUGGCAGGGAUGUGAAUGAUAAUUUGUGAAAUCAAACAACUUAAGCAGGUGCCUAGCUCAACAACUCCUAUGAAAUCUAGAUUGGUGGUGGUAGUUAUAGGGCGCCUGUUCAGGCAACAGUUUCGUUUUUUAAUCCGCCAAGGAUUUAUGCGUUAUUGCGUCUACUGUGUAGCCUGAGUAGCAUACGCAAGGGGGCGUUUAUCUACAUUCCUGAUCACCAAGCAGUUACAAAUAUGUUCUACACUGAUAAGCAUCCGAGGCAAAGUGCGAGCUGAACUAGUUAAUUGCCCCUCAACUCCAGAGGGCACUAGUUUACAGCAACUCGGGCUCACCCUUUGGGUAAUUUGAGAUACUUUUCUGGACGGUUCAGAAUCUUAUUAUUGGCCAAAAUUUGAUACGAGAUUAAUUGAUACUUAGUCCUGUCAGACCUCAAAUUCUACGGUUUAUAAUUCUUGUUCUAUGACCGAUUUUAUUAUUAUUUUUUUUAUACAAAGAGUGGAUUCUCAUUUCUUCUUCAUAUCAGCGAGCAGAUUUGAGGUUUAAAAUUGUUUUAGGUUGUUAAGCAAGUCUGACUUUCUACGAUGUGCAUGGCCGCCAAACUUUGUCGUUAUAUCUGACUGUUAAUCGGUAAGAAAAACGGCGAAUUAUUGACGAUACGUUUGUCAAAAUGGCAAAUACAACGCCUAACGAUUUAAAUCUAACUUGGGAUAAUCUACUUCUCGGACAAGGUACUUUGAGACCGGAUCUAAUUGAGUCCGCUUUCCAUAUGGCUUCUUCGCGCACUGUUGCCAUAAAGACUCGUCAUAACGAUUCCGAAAUGGUUCGUCAAUUGCGCAUUCACGGCCGUGUAGUAGAACCUAUUAAAGACUUCCUUAAAGAUGAAGUAAGAGCCUUAGGUCGUGAGCUGGGUUUGCCCGCACAAUUACUGGAACGUUACCCGUUUCCUGGUCCCGGCUUGUCAAUUUGAAUCAUUUACGCCGAAGAGCCGUUCUUGGAAGCUAAUUUCGAUGAGACGCAAGUGCUGAUUCGUUCGAUGGUCCAUUAUGCCAACAUAGCAGCCAAGGAACAUGCCUUGCUCAAUCGGAUUGAAAUCGUGACGUCGGAAGAAGAACGUCUUCUUCUGGGAGAACUGUCUAGUCGUAACCAGUAUGUUGCCACGCUACUGCCUAUUCGCACUGUCGGUGUUCAGGUACAGGAGGUUGCAGAAAAAUGUGUCGGGUAUGGCAAACAAAGCAUAGGGAAAACCGCCACAUUUUUCUGCAAUAUACUGUACAACAGAUUCGCAAUUUAGACGUUGUCGUAAUAAUGCCGCGAUCGUAAUCAACUCUUAUUCAAGGUAGAUGAUAGGUGCCACCGUAUCUACGCCAAGGUUUUUUUUUUCUCUUGUCUAUAUCUUUUAAUGGCCAGUGGGUCCUUGUGAUCAUGGCCAAUGGCUUGAGCCGGAUACCAACGACUAUGGCACCUGUCGCCCUUCGCCUUGCCCAGUAAGCAAAUGCAACGGUCGCCAGAUCUACUGGAAGUCAACACUAAAUUCUGAAGGUGGCUGUUAUAAAUCGUUCACACGUGGGCCUUGCAGGCGAAGUAGCUAUUUCCUCGUUGAAGAAUAUGGCACUCGAAGAGGUCGAUGUGUUUCUCAAUUUGGAUCAUCCUAUGAAUCCUAUGUCCUUCCGUCACGCUAUCCCAGGAUGAGGAACCCUUACGACAUGAUGUACUCCAACAACGCGAUGAGCCCAUGAUCGAAAUUUGGCAUGUAUCCGCCGUUUGGCAUGCAGGAAGAUUAGCGGAGACCACUAUCCUGACAUUCCCAGUUUCGAUUACUGAACUAGAAACAGUUUUACAGAACCAUUCACAUGGUUUUGUCUCUAUUAUUUCAUUUAAAAAAUGCGAUUGCAAAUUUUCUAUUGUGACGUAUGGCGGAUAAAAAACAACCUUAAUUAGUUUUAAUGCAUGAAUUCGUUAGCCAAUAAUAUGUGUAUGAAGAAAAUGUUUUCAUUUUGAAACAGAGUCAUGGAACCCAUCGGUUUCCAUGACUCUGCUUUGAAAGUUUGAACAGGGAUUUCUGUUUUACCUUUCUGCGAUGCGGCAACACAGCAUUGCAUGUCGAUCUGCGAACGUUUGACAACUCGCUGGUAUUGCAAUAGGUUAAUAGUUUUGUGUCAAGUAAAUUUCAAGUGCGAGUAACUGCUGGAAGAUUGCAAGCGAAAUCUGCAUGUGUAGUGUCAUUGUUCUAAGUGUUGGAGACUUUUUCGUUUUGAUUAGGCAUUCAUUUUUGGGAACAAUACCUGAAGUUGGAUAUCGCCUAGUGAUAUUUACAUAUUAAGUCCUAUUUUAAGACACUUGGGGCGAUACGUUUCGCAACAAAGAUCUAUACAGUACUUAAAAGAUGACUCACAAGCAGUACGCCACCGCGAUUGAGACAAGGUAAAACACAAAACUAUAAAGCGCCAUUUAAAUUCCUCAUUCUAACAAUAAUUUAAGAAAAUGUAAAUGUAUACUUAGCUGUGGUAAUUAUUUCGUUUACAUCAACUACACUUCAAUAAUUUACAAGUGGAAAAGUGUUGCCUAUAAGCAACAAGAAGGUAUUGUGCAUGUUUAUGAGCGAAUCAUGGCUUAAUGGGUGAGCAUCGGAUUGUACCGCUGGAUGUUUGUGGAUCAAAUACCAUCAAAGUUUUCUUCACCAUGACAUACUUGGAAUUUAUAUGCCAAUACGUGUAAUCCAUCAAGGAUACUGAAUUUCACAACUCCUGAAUGGGAUUCGAACCCAAUGUAUAGAGAAUUCCAGUCCACCGCUCUACCAUUGAGCUAUGAGACAUAUUACUGAGAAAUCUAAGUCUUCAACACAUUAAGGUAACUGUGCAAAGUUGUACAUAGGGGAUCAAAUAUCAAUGGGGGGGAUAUAGGGGGGGUUGCCAGGAAGGUAUCGCAUCCGCCUAGCAGCUCCAAGGUCCGUGGUUCGAUUCCACGGAGGUUCCCGAUGUCCUGGGCUUCCAAUCUUCCACGUCUCCCAGUCGGGUCGAGAAACUUCCCCAUUACGAAGUAAUGGGAUGGAUAUUUUGGCAAUGUUUAAUAUAAUAUCCAAUAAAAAAUCUUAAUAAAUUGUUUAUUUUGAUUUAUCGGUGUGAAUGCGUAUUUUGUUACUUGAACACUUUACAACGUACUUUAGCCAUUGGCAUCCUCUGUCGAAAUAUCUCACACAUACUGCUUGAUCAAUAUUUUGUGUAUAUAAGAUUGUAACAUAUAGUUUCUCAACUGAA